AAAGGAAUUGACGGGGACCCGCACAAGCAGCGGAGCGUGUUGUUUAAUUCGAAGAUACUCGAAGAACCUUACCAAGACUUGACAUCGCCUGACGGACGUGGAAACACGUAAUCCCUAGCAAUAGGGCAGGUAGACAGGUGGUGCAUGGUUGUCGUCAGCUCGUGUCGUGAGAUGUUGGGUUAAGUCCCGCAACGAGCGCAACCCUUACGGUUAGUUGCCAAUAUUAAGUUAGGAACUCUGACCGGACUGCCGUGGAUAUAACACGGAGGAAGGCGGGGAUGACGUCAAAUCAUCAUGCCCCUUACGUCUUGGGCUACAAACGCGCUACAAUGGCCGUUACAAAGAGCAGCGAAGCAGCGAUGCGGAGCCAAUCUCAAAAAAGCGGUCUCAGUUCAGAUUAUGGGCUGCAACCCGCCCAUAUGAAGAUGGAGUUGCUAGUAAUCCCGAAUCAGCAUGUCGGGGUGAAUGCGUUCCCGGGUCUUGUACACACCGCCCGU
rnacentral:rRNA from 1 species